GACGAACGCUGGCGGCGUGCCUAAUACAUGCAAGUCGAGCGAACGGACGAGAAGCUUGCUUCUCUGAUGUUAUCGGCGGACGGGUGAGUAACACGUGGAUAACCUACCUAUAAGACCGGGAUAACAUCGGGAAACCGGAGCUAAUACCGGAUAAUAUUUUGAAUCUGAUGGUUCAAAAGUGAGAGACGGUCUUUGUGUCACUUAUAGAUGGAUCCGCGCUGCAUUAGCUAGUUGGUAAGGUAACGGCUUACCAAGGCAACGAUGCAUAGCCGACCUGAGAGCGUGAUCGGCCACCCUGGAGGUGAGACACAGCCCCGACUCCUGCGGUGGGAAGCAGUAGGGAAUCUUCCGGAAGGAGCGAAAGCGGGACGGUGCACCGCCGCCGGAGGGAUGAUGGUGUUCGGAUGGUUAAACUCUGUUAUUAGGGGAGAAGAAAUGUGUAAGUAACUGUGCACAUCUUGACGGUACCUGGACAGAAAGCCCCGGCUAACUACGUG
rnacentral:rRNA from 1 species